AAGUGGUUUUGAAGCAGGGAAGCAUCUGACGCAUUCGGGCGCCUUGUCAGAUGUGGAGCGAGUGGCGCGACCGGCAAAGCUGUGG
rnacentral:ncRNA from 14 species